ACAAAAAUAAAACAAAAAAAUCUAUAAUAUUGGAAAAAAUAACACUCUGGUCUUUAAAAGUUAUUACUUCUUUCUUAAAACAAAAUCUCAAAAUCUCUUGAAGGUUCUAAGAACCCUUGUGAUGAGAUGAACCAUCUCCAUCCAUUGUGAUAGUGGCUUUUUGAACAACGUUUAUUCACAAAAAUAAAACAAAAAAAUCUAUAAUAUUGGAAAAAAUAAUACUUCAGUCUUUAAAAGUUAUUACUUCUUUCUUAAAACAAAAGCCUCAAAUCUCUUGAAGGUUCUAAAAACCCUUGUGAUGAGAUGAACCAUCUCCAUCCAUUGUGACAGUGGCUGGAACCAUUGGAGAAAUCUGCACUAUAACGUUAGCUCACCUUAAAUUCCACAAUCUUCUUCUAUUGUGUCUACUCCGUUUUGUGUUGAACUUGAAUCUGGAACUUCUAGAUCUGCAACAACAUUCAUCAUUUGGCUCAAUUUACGGUCUUGCAAGUUGCGACUCUUCUAUCUUCAAGGUAAACCAGACAUGAUAAAGAAGGAUUGGGUGGAGUUGCCUCCACACAGUCAAGGUUUUAAGGAUGGUGUUAACUACUUUUUAGAUAUUGCAUUCACCAAAUGAAUUGUUGAAGGAGAUGAGAUUUUGUGCCCUUGUGCUACAUGUUGCAAUGAUAGUUGGGAAAAAAGAGAUGUAAUGUUUGAUCAUUUACGUGGCAGAGGAUUUGUAAAGGGAUACAACGAAUGGAUUCACCAUGGCGACGAUGGAAGUCUUAUGGAUAUUGAUAGUGAUACUGAUGAUGAAGUAUCAUCCGAUGAUAUUGAUGGCUUACUAUUUGAGACUUUUAAAGAUGUCGCUGAAGAAGAUGGGAUACAUGAUGGGAUAAAUGAAUGCAAAUAAAUUUUAUAAACUAGUUGAUGAUGCAAAUCAAGAGUUGUAUCCUGGUUGUAAAAAAAUUUCCACCUUAUCAUUCACUAUUCGAAUGUAUUUGCUGAAAUGUCUCUAUGGGUGGAGCAAAGCAUCAUUCACUGCUCUCUUGGAGUUAUUAAAGGAGGCUAUGCCAAAUUUGAACAUCCCUGUCUCUUUCAAUAAAACAAAAUCUAUGAUAAAAAGACUUAGACUUAGACUAUAAGAAGAUUGAUGCAUGCCCCAACAAUUGCAUGUUGUUUUGGAAACAGCAUGAAAAAGAUGAACAAUGUGAAUUUUGUGGAGCAUCAAGGUGGAUCGAAUAUCCUGAAGUUGGUUAUCAUCUUGAAGAAUCUAAAAAAGUGCAUAAGGUUCCCGCCAAAGUUCUAAGACAUUUUCCUUUGAUUCCAAGAUUGAAAAGACUGUUUAUGUAUUCAAAGACAGCUGACACAUUGAGGUGGCAUGCAGGAAGACGUUCAAGGGAAGGUAGAUUAAGGCAUCCAGCCGAUGGCCAAGCAUGGAAAGACUUUGAUGCCAAACAUCCAGAUUUUGCUCUUGAAACUCGUAAUAUUAGGAUUGGGUUAGCUAGUGACGAGUUUAAUCCAUUUCGGACUAUGAGUCUUUCACAUAACACGUGGCCUGUGGUGUUAACCAUAUACAACCUCGUUUAUUUAUUUUAAUUCACUUCCCCUGAACAGUUGGCCUUACUGAACGAUAUAUGACCCGUAAUAUUAGCUAAGGUUAGAACGAGGGUCAAUAUAUUUUUGUGUCUUUAAUCAUAAUAUUUGUGUAUUUUUUCGUUCUGUCAUUAGUAAAAUUGGAGAUUGUGUCUGCACAUUAUUUUAAUAUCUGAAAUAUUGGCAUAAUGAUUUUAUGAGCUUUAAAUGGUUAUAAAAA